UACGUAAGAGACUAGUGUUAUUCAUCUUUAUUAGGUUUAAAGGGUACUCAAACGGUAAAAUUAGCUGUAAAAAAGGACAGUUUUACUAGAGUUUUAUGUAAGGAGGUCGUACUUGUGGAGGAGAGAUGAAAUUUGUUGAUACCUAAGGGACUGGUUAAGGCGUAGGCAACCUCUUAUGUAAAAACUGACGUUGAAGGACGAAGGCAUAGAGCACGAACAGG
rnacentral:rRNA from 1 species